CAGCCGCCGCGGUAAUACGUAGGGUGCGAGCGUUAAUCGGAAUUACUGGGCGUAAAGCGUGCGCAGGCGGUUAUGUAAGACAGGUGUGAAAUCCCCGGGCUUAACCUGGGAACUGCGCUUGUGACUGCACAGCUAGAGUAUGGCAGAGGGGGGUGGAAUUCCACGUGUAGCAGUGAAAUGCGUAGAGAUGUGGAGGAACACCGAUGGCGAAGGCAGCCCCCUGGGCCAAUACUGACGCUCAUGCACGAAAGCGUGGGGAGCAAACAGGAUUAGAUACCCGAGUAGUCCCUGUCUCUUAUAC
rnacentral:rRNA from 1 species